GACGAACGCUGGCGGCGUGCCUAAUACAUGCAAGUAGAACGCUGAAGAGAGGAGCUUGCUCUUCUUGGAUGAGUUGCGAACGGGUGAGUAACGCGUAGGUAACCUGCCUUGUAGCGGGGGAUAACUAUUGGAAACGAUAGCUAAUACCGCAUAACAAUGGAUGACACAUGUCAUUUAUUUGAAAGGGGCAAUUGCUCCACUACAAGAUGGACCUGCGUUGUAUUAGCUAGUAGGUGAGGUAAUGGCUCACCUAGGCGACGAUACAUAGCCGACCUGAGAGGGUGAUCGGCCACACUGGGACUGAGACACGGCUCAGACUCCUACGGGAGGCAGCAGUAGGGAAUCUUCGGCAAUGGGGGCAACCCUGACCGAGCAACGCCGCGUGAGUGAAGAAGGUUUUCGGAUCGUAAAGCUCUGUUGUAAGUCAAGAACGGGUGUGAGAGUGGAAAGUUCACACUGUGACGGUAGCUUACCAGAAAGGGACGGCUAACUACGUG
rnacentral:rRNA from 1 species